UGCCCGUUCCAUCCUCUCGUGACCAGCAGGCGGCGAACAGGCGAACUGCAGGCGGUGAGGUGGAUCUUUCCUCUCGUGAUCUCCGGCGAUCGCCGGUGAAACAGGUGGCGGCAGACACACUUGAUUGAAGUAUAAGAAUUUCUGUCAUGUUGGGAAGGCUUCGCUAUUUUGUUGGGUCAUGGCAAAGGCUCCAAUAUAUGAAGACAAUCAUCUAGUUUUUUGUUCAGUACUUAGCUUCAGUGAUGGUUCUGUAAUAUCGGAUGGCAACAGAGAUGUGGACAAAACCUAUGAGAUCAUAUCUUGCUUUGAGGAGGAAUAAACGAUGUGCCUUUGACAGCUCGCACCCAAGAAAGCUAUGUAAAUGUUGAUGGCAAUGCAAAGAGGCCAAACAAUUCACCACCUACUGCUCCAAGUACAAGUACAAGGGGAAGGGGCAAUGCUAUGACUAAGGCUGCUGCUGCUUCUAAUUCAAAGGCUGCAACUGCUCCAAAUGUUUGUUCUGCACGUGCUGCUCCAAGUACAAGUACAAGGGGAAGGGGCAAUGCUACGACUAAGGCUGCUGCUUCUAAUUCAAAGGCUGCAGCUGCUCCAAAUGUUAGUUCUGCACCUGAUGCUCCAAGUACAAGUACAAGGGGAAGGGGCAAUGCAAAUGCUGCAAAUGGGACUGGUAUUGGUAGGACAAGUGCACCAGCAACUUCAGGUCCUAAUGUUCCAGCUAGGGGCAGGGGUAAGGGCAAGGCAGCAAUGCAAAUAAAUGAAUCACAAGCAUCAUCUUCAAAUGCAAAUGCUGAAAGAGGAGGAAGAAGACCUGCCCACAGUGUGGAUGCAGGGAACAAAGCUUUUGGAAGAUCGAGUAGUGGAAGGAAAACCUCUUGGUUCACAAUUGGAGCAAAUGCAGGAGCUAGAGAUGCAGCUAUGAAGAAGUGAGGAAUUGGUUGCCUUGUGUCUCUAUUUGCUGCGAUGUUUAAAUAAUUACAAAUUGCUAUAUUUUGUCUGUGUGAUGAACAUGUAAUGCACUAUGUGAGAUGUGGUGUUGGGAAUCAUGUUAAGAUAUGAAGUAUUAGUGUUCUGGACAAUAUAUGCAUUGCCUAUUUAAAACUGUU